GAAAUGCGAUAAGUAGUGUGAAUUGCAGAAUUCAGUGAAUCAUCGAAUCUUUGAACGCACAUUGCGCCCCUUGGUAUUCCAUGGGGCAUGCCUGUUCGAGCGUCAUUUGUACCUUCAAGCUAUGCUUGGUGUUGGGUGUUUUGUCUCUGCUCUCAUGCUUAGACUCACCCUAAAUACAUUGGCAGCUAAUAUAUUAGUUUAAAGCGCAGCACAAUUUGCCUUUGAGCCUAUCAUUAUUCGCUUCCAUUAAGUCUAUUUAACACUUUUGACCUCGGAUCAGGUAGGGAUACCCGCUGAACUUAA
rnacentral:misc_RNA from 1 species